GAGGGACGUCAAACUAAAAGUCACUUGCUGCAAAAUUGGCUCCAUAAGCUGGAAGAAGCUCUUUAUGAUGCAGAGGAUGUGCUUGAUGAACUCUCUACGGAGGCUCUCCGUCGAGAACUGAUGACUAGAGAUCAUAAAAAUGCAAAACAAGUAAGGAUCUUCUUCUCCAAAUCUAAUCAAAUUGCAUUUAAUUAUAGGAUGGCUCGUCAAAUAAAGAAUAUUUGGGAGAGGCUAGAUGCUAUUGAUGCUGAAAAAACACAAUUUCACUUGCGUGAAAACUGUGAAUCACGGACUCAAUACGGUUCAUUUGAUCGAAUAAUGAUGGGAAGGGAAACUUGGUCUUCUUCAAAUGACGAGGAAGUGAUUGGAAGGGAUGAUGAUAUAAAAGAAGUAAAAGAGCGUUUAUUGGAUAUGAAUAUGAAUGUCACGCAUAAUGUUUCGUUCAUUGCUAUAGCUGGAAUGGGUGGGAUAGGCAAGACGACCUUGGCUAAAUCUCUCUACAAUGACGAAGAGGUAUCAGGAUUUUUCGACUUAAAAAUAUGGGUUUGGGUUUCUGAUCAAUUUGAGGUACAAGUGGUAGCGGAAAAAAUGAUAGAAUCAGCAACCAAAAACAAUCCUAGUGUAAAAGGAAUGGAAGCUUUACAAGCAAAGCUUCAGAAAGUGAUUGGAGAAAGGAAGUAUCUGUUAGUUAUGGAUGAUGUAUGGAAUGAAAGUGAAGAGAAAUGGCAUGGGUUGAAAUCAUUGUUGAUGGGUGGUGCAAGAGGGAGUAAGGUUUUGAUCACAAAGCGUGACAGAAAAGUAGCCACAGAAAUCAAAAGCAUGACAUCUUUGUUCACUUUAGAAGGCUUAUCAGAGAGUAAUUCCUGGUUAUUGUUUAGUAAAGUGGCAUUUAAAGAAGGCAAAGAGUCCACAGAUCCAAGCACGAUACAUUUAGGAAAAGAAAUUUUAGUGAGAUGUGGAGGUGUUCCUCUUGUUAUAAGACAUGUUGGACGCAUGUUAUACUCUAAAACUUCACAAGAAGAGUGGAUGUCCUUCAAGGAUAAUGAACUUUUAGAAGUCAUUCAACAAGACAAUGAUAUGACAUCAAUAUUAAAAUUGAGUUAUAACCAUCUCCCACCAAAUUUGAAACGAUGUUUUGCAUAUUCAUCCCUGUUUCCCAAAGGAUAUAAAAUAGAAAUAAAAGACCUAAUAAGGCAAUGGGUGGCUCAAGGUUUUAUUGAAGUGUCAAAUGGAAGAAAAUCCUUGGAAGAUACAGGGAAGGACUAUUUUAACGAAUUAUGUUGGAGGUUUUUUUAUGCAAAUUCUAGUGAUGAGUGUAACAUCAAUGAUAUUGUUUGUAUGCAUGAUGUGAUGUGUGAGUUUGUAAGGAAGGUGGCAGGAAAUAAAUUAUAUGUACGUGGAAAUCCCAAUAAUGAUUAUGUUGUCAGCGAACAAACACUUCACAUUUCAUUUGACUACGGAAUACAAUCAUGGCAAGAUGUUCUAUCUAAAUUAUGCAAGGCUAAGGGAUUAAGAACAAUCCUUUUAUUAUUUCGUCCCUACGAGAAAAUGAAUAAAAUUGAUAAAGCUAUUUUGGAUGAAUUAUUUUCCAGUUUUCCACGUUUGCGAGUAUUAGAUCUUCAUUUCUCGCAGAUUUCUGUAGUGCCGAAGUCUAUAAAAAAACUUAGACACCUUCGAUAUUUGGAUCUCUCUGAAAAUGAUAUGGAAUUAAUUCCACAUUCUAUCAUUGAAUUGCAAAAUUUGCAAACACUAAAUCUAACAGAAUGCUAUGAGCUAAAAGAAUUGCCAAGGGACAUCGACAAUCUUGUAAAUCUCAGGCAUCUUACCUUUGAACCUUGUAUGGAAGUAACUCCUACAUCGGAGGGGAUGGAGAAGUUGACUUGUCUACAAACAAUCAGUUUAUUUGUGUUUGACUGCAAAAAGACCAAUAAGCUAUGGGAAUUGAAUGAUCUCAGUUAUUUGACAGGAGAGUUAAAAAUCAUAGGUUUAGAGAAGUUGAGGUCUUCUCCAUCUGAAAUCACCUUAAUAAACCUGAAAGACAAAAAAGGUUGGCAAGGUUUAAAUUUGGAAUGGAAACUGGGCAAGGAUGAAUACGAAGGUGAGGCUGAUGAAACAAUAAUGGAAGGCUUGGAACCACAUCCAAAUGUUGAAUCGUUGAGCAUUAACGGGUACACUGGAGGAGCAUUGCCCAAUUGGGUGUUCAACUCGCUUAUGAAGUUAACUGAAAUUGAAAUUGAAAAUUGCCCUAGAGUGCAACAUCUACCUCAGUUCAACCAGCUUCAGGAUCUCAGAGCUCUACAUUUAGUGGGCUUAAGAUCUCUCGAGUUCAUAGAUAAGAGUGAUCCAUACUCAUCAUCAGUGUUUUUUCCAUCUCUCAAGUUUCUACGUUUAGAAGAUAUGCCUAAUUUGGAAGGAUGGUGGGAAUUAGGGGAAUCAAAAGUAGUAGCAAGGGAGACAUCUGGGAAAGCUAAAUGGUUGCCUCCAACUUUUCCUCAAGUUAAUUUCCUACGUAUCUACGGAUGUCCGAAGUUAAGUUCCAUGCCCAAGCUAGCUUCUAUUGGAGCAGAUGUUAUUUUACAUGAUAUUGGGGUUCAGAUGGUGAGUACCAUAGGUCCAGUAUCGAGUUUUAUGUUUCUAUCAAUGCAUGGAAUGACGAAUCUCAAAUAUUUAUGGGAGGAAUUUCAGCAAGAUCUAGUUUCUUCAAGUACCUCAACAAUGUCCUCACCUAUUUCCCUUCGUUAUCUGACAAUAAGUGGAUGCCCCUAUCUCAUGAGUUUACCGGAAUGGAUUGGCGUUCUCACUUCCCUUGAAACAUUGCAUAUUAAAGAAUGUCCAAAAUUAAAAUCACUACCAGAAGGAAUGCAGCAACUCAAAUCUUUGAAAGAACUUCACAUAGAAGACUGCCCUGAACUAGAGGACAGAUGCAAGCAGGGAGGAGAGGAUUGGCCAAACAUUUCCCACGUUCCCAACUUUACUUACAAAAAUGCCUCUGACAUUGACACACCACAAUCUUCUUCAGGUUUUUCACACCAUCCCUUUUCAAUCGUUCGUAUCUCUGUUAUAUAGGUCACCACCCAAUAAAUAUUUGCAAUUUACUUAUGUAACUCAUGUUCUUAGCUUAAAAAAAUAGAUGAAAAGCUUCAUUUAGUUUGUAGAUCUAAAUGAAAAUUUAAACACGACGAAGAUCAAAUUGAUAUUUAAGCACAACAUUUACAGAGAUAAAAAUGAUAAUUUAACCUGCUUUGAAUUAUAUUUAUGUAGUUCAUAACUUACAUUAACUAGUUACCAAAAUGUUUAUAUGUCUCAUGUUCUAAAUGAUGAAGCGGGAGCAGCAAUCUGGGGAAAAAUGAAAGAUUGUUUCAUUAGAUAACCAACACCUGCGUUCCUUCUCUGGAUUUUGAGUGCGGUUCUUUUUCCUUUUAUAUUUAAUUUAUAUACUUUAUCUAUAUCUGAGUUGAAUUUCCUUUUUAAGUUUGACCAAAGUUUCAACUAGAUUCUUGCAAAAACCAUCUACCUAGAUAGGUAUAAAUACAUUAGUAGCAGAUGGGUUUCUCUUAUGUUGAUGUUUGUUUGGGCUUAGACAGAUAUAAAUUGUCUGGUUGGUGAUUGGCAAUUGGUAUGUUCAGGGUUCAGCAAAGCUACUGAGAGAUGUAUUUUUAUAUCUAAAUUAUGAACUUCAUAGAGAACCACCCUGCCAUUUUCAUUACUGUUACAGACGAAAAUGGUAGUCACUACUUAUUUGUAAAAUAUGAUCAUUUUACAUUCUUCAUGAUAAUUAGUAAUUUAAUGUUACUGAAUCUCCCUCCAAGAAGUAACAUGAUUGAUUUUGAUCUAUAAACUAAAUAUAAUGAGGAUGUUAUCCUUUGUAUGAACUCUUUCGCUCUAAAGAAUGAAGGCAGGUUGUCGUUACUUGGUAAGGUAGAUUUCGUGAUUAGAAAGUGAAACGGUGUAUGAUCCAAAAUGUAAGUCUUAAAAUUUUUUGUGUAGCUUAGAUUUGCAUGUGACAGGUAGAAUAUCACCUCUUUGGUAUAUGAUAAAUAGACAUUGAUAUAUAUCAAACACAAACUUCGUUGCAGAACUCUGAGGCAGGAAAUAGUGAGAAGCCAAUUAGAACAUAACUUGAUUGCUCAUGGAAAAGGUUGUUUCGAUUUUUGAACUAUCAUAUUUGGUAGAACUUUGGGGAAGACAAAAUAAAAGAAAUGAAAGGAAGAAAAAGCUAAGCUGAAGCAAGCGGGCUUAAUCAUCUUAAGUUCUUAAUAAUUUUAUUUAAUAUCUAAAAUACUUUUCCAUACAUAGAUAGAAUUCAAAAUACAUUCAGAGCUUACUCUAAAACUUUCUACUGAAUCAUCUAAAAAACGAAAAAAAUUUAUAGAACAGUAUAGUUUCUUAUUUCAUUAAAACACGCGAAAAAUCCAAUAGUCUAUAAGAAUGACAGAUGCAGAAAUUUUGUCAACAAAAAUUUUAUAGUUCAGUUAAGUAAUCUCCACAAAAAUGUUAAAAAAAAUCUUUAACCUACUUCUAGAUGAUGGGAACAAGAAGACAAAUUUACUAUUGGAUCAAUUAAUGAUAUUGAUUCAAAAGUCACAAUUUUAUGUAUAAAAUAUAUAACGAGUACAAAUUCGAGGAAAGUUUGAGCCAUCUAGAUCACACUAACUUCCUCUUUGAUCUGUAAGCACUUCAAUGAUUGACUUACAGGUAUAGUCUGAUUUGAAGACAAUAUUUCUCAAAUGACAUAAGCGUAAAUUAAUUUACAAAUAUAGAUUUCUACAAAAUUUGGGACAAAUUUAAUCCUAGAUUUCCUUGCAAAUAUAGGUUUUCACCCCAAAAUAAUAAAGGAUAUAGCAAAAAGUUAAAAAAUAAAAUAACCCUAGUUAAAAGACAAAAAUGCCCCUACAAGUCCAAAAUAAUUAAUUCAACGUUUUAUCUUCCCCAUUUCACAACACUUCAACGUUUUUUCUUCUCGUUUCUUCCUAUUUCUUUUGGUGUUCGAUUGGAUGCAUAAUUUGUUCACACGAGAUUUUCGGAGAAAUUUAAUUCGUAGAUUUGAACUUGGAGUUGAUGUUGUAUCUUUGUUGAUUUCGUUGUGAUGCGGUUCAAUCUCUAGAAUUUGACCCUCUGAUUCUCUCUCGACUGGAUGUUUGUGCUUGAUUUGGAGAAAACUGAACACGUGAUGUUCUUGAAGUUGGAGCCUUGGAAGAAAGCUGGUAUCUUCAAAGAAGUUUCAAUCUUCGAGGAUGGUUGACUCUCUCUCAAUCUUCUAGAGUCAAAAUUUUCCAACCCUACAAAUGAGAAGAAUUUCUCUAUUUAUAGAGUUCACUGGUAGGCUUUAUGUGCUUAAACCUGGUUGAUCCAUGGGGCUCAACCAUAUGUAUUUAGGUUAUAUUUAGUCUUUGGGCUUGGCUUAAUUGAAUUUAAUCCAAGUAAAUAAUAUUUAAUUGAACCAAAAUGAUUAAUUUAAUCCAACAAUUAAAAUGAAAACAUGUGGCAUUAUUAGAACGGUCAAAUUUAUGUUUUUUAAUUUGGGGCACAUGUCAAUUUUAAUUAGUCUCAAAUUUAAUUAUUUGUACUUUUUAUCCUUAACUUAAUAAAUGUUGUAGUAAUUUGUGAUUGGUCUCAAAAUUUCUUAUUCAACCGAUGCAUCUACAUCAUUUUGGAUUUCUCAAUUUUAUCGUUUACUGUCUCUUUGCUUUUCGUCUAAGAAGCACGAACACAAAUACAGAUAUGGAUACGAGACACGAAUACGACACGACAACACACCAUAGUAAAUGAUUUGAUGCAUUUAUAUGCUUAAAAGACUUAAAACUAAAAACUAAAGUCUAUCGAUGAUAGAAAUAACUUUGAUCUAUUGUCGCGAAAAGAAAAGGAACAGUAAACGAUGAAAUUGAGAAAUAAAAAAUGAUGUAGAUGCAUCCAAUCAAACACCAAAAGACCAAACGAAAUGGGAGGAAACGAGAAGACAAAGCGUUGAAAUGGGAAAGAUAUGAAGCGUUGAACGAAUUAUCUUGGGCUUGUAAGGACAUUUUUGUCUUUUAAUUAGGGUUGUAGUCAAAUUUUGCAUAUCUGCAUUUUUUUUUCUUUUUGCUAUAUAUCUUUAAUUAUUUUGGGCUGAAAACUUAUAUUUUCAAGCAUCCCUAAAAAAAAAAGGUGAAUUUAACGCAUUAUCGUAACUUGAUCUAUUUAAUAAGGCUAUUAGGAGAGAAAGCCCUUAUAAAAAAAAUAUAAGCCAGAAUCUAUACUAAGCAGAUUUGGGGCACGCGGGAAACAAAAGGGGCCUUUUACGUUGUGGCGGUAAGUCAAGACAUGAAAGCUGCCAAACAAGGAAAAGGAAAUUUCUUAUAAAAAAGAGGGGACAGGUGAAGCCGGUGAGAAUUUACUUUUAAUAUCUCAGGUGGAGCAAUCUUUUGGAACUAAUCCCAGAAAGGAUAUCUCAUUAGUUAAUUUCCUCACCUGAAACUUAAACCAUGGCGGACGCAAUUCCCUUCCAAGUUGCUGGGGAGAUGGGAGAUCUUGAUGAAGCUAAGCUCUCAAGCUUUCCAGCGGCUUGGGAUGCUACUUGGGCUGAAGGCUGAUCUUUACAAACUCACAAGCACUGUUUCAACCAUUAAGGAUGUGGUUCUUGAUGCAGAGGGGCGUCAAGUAAAAGUCACUUGCUGGAGAAUUGGCUUCAAAAACUGGAAGAAGCUCUUUAUGCUGUGGAUGUGCUUGAUGAACUCUCCAGGGAGGCUCUUCAUCGAGAAGUGAUGACUAGAGAUAAAAAUGCAAAACAAGUAAGGAUCUUCUUCUCCAAAUCUAAUCAAAUCGCAUUUAACUACAGGAUGGCUCGUCAAAUAAAGAAAGUUUGGGAGAGACUAGAUGCUAUUGAUGCUGAAAAAAAACAAUUUCAUUUGCAUGAAAACUGUGAAUAAAAAAAAAUUCCCUAUAGUUCGUUUGAUCAAAUAAUGGCUGGAAGAGAAUCUUGGUGUUUUUCAAACGAAGAGGAGGUGAUCGGGAGGAAUGAUGAUAAGAAAAAGGUAAAGCACCUUUUAUUGGAUGAUGUAUGGAAUGAAAGUGAAGAGAAAUGGCAUGGGUUGAAACCUUUGUUAAUGAGUGGUGCGAAAGGGAGUAAGAUUUUCAUCACAAUGCGUGAUAGUAAAAUAGCUGCAGAAAUUGAAAGCAUGACUUCUUUAUUCACUUUAGAAGGCUUACCGAAGAGUAAAUCUUGGUCAUUAUUUAGUAAAGUGGCAUCCAAAGAAGGCAAGGUGCUUGAAAAUUCAAACUUGUUACAGUUAGGAAAAGAAAUUUCAGUGAAAUGUGGAGGUGUUCCCUUGUAACAAGAUACGUUGGCCGCUUGCUAUACUCUAAAACUUCAGAAGAAGAGUGGAUAUUUUUCAAGGAUAACGAACUUUUAGAAAUCAUUAAGCAAGACAAUUAUAUGACAUAAGUAUUAAAACUGAGCUAUAACCUAAGAAGCAGUGACACGCCAGUUGGAAUGUCAUUAUUAUUAUUCUUUUAUUUUAAUUUCGCACACAGCCCCGACAUGGCUGGAAAAAAAAAACACAAAGGUUAGAAAUGCCCAUUAGCUCGGGCCAGCAAUUAUUAGGUUCUUUUUUCUUUAAUUUUAUCUUUUCAAAUCAUUUUUCACACAUUUCUCCCAUCUGCGGAUUUUUCACAAAUUCUCGCUGCCAACCCUCUCUGCCCUAACUUGUUGGGUCUUAUGGCUCUAAACUUAUAUUUUGAUGUUUUAAUUGGAAUAUUUUACUAUGUUUAGAGCAUGACAUAUAUUUAAUUUUUUUUACUAAAAAUUUGACGUGGUUGUGUCCUACUUUUUUUUUAAAAUGAUGUGUCACAUAUCACAUGUGGUGCGUCUGUAUCUGUGCUUCCUAGACUAUAACCAUCUCACACCAAGUUUGAAACAAUGUUUUGCCUAUUUAUCCUUGUUACCCAAAAGGUAGAGCUUAAAUAUAAGAGAUUUGAUUAGACAAUGGAUGGCUCUAGGUUUAAUAGAAUCAUCAAAUGGAAGUAAAUCCAUGGAAGAUACAGGAAAGGACUAUUUCAAGGAGUUAUGUUGGAGGUUUUUUGGAAAAUUCCAUCAAUGAGUGUAACUUCGACAAUAAUGUCCACAUGAAUGAUGUGAUACGUGAUCUUGCAACAAAUGUAGCAGGAAAAAAUAUGUAGGUGAAAAUCUCAAUUCUAAUUAUGCUUUCGGUGAAAAGACUCGUCAUGUUUCAUAUGUUCUAUUCAAACUAUGGUCAGAUGUUCUAUUCAACUUACGCAAGGCAAAGGAUUAAGAACGUUCCAGCUAUUGUCAUCCAAUUCUAAAUACGAAAAGAAGAAUGAGAUCAAUGAAGCUAUUUUGGAUGAAGUACUUUCCAGUUUUCCACGUUUGCAAGUAUUGGGUCUUAAUAACUCAAAUAGUCGCUAAGUGCCAAACUUUAUAAGAAGGUUUAGACAUCUUCGAUAUCCAAACCUCCCUGAAAAUAUUAUGAAAUCACUUCCAAAUUCAAUCACUGAAUUGCAAAACUUGCAAAUGCUAAAUCUAAUGUACUGUAGCGAACUAAUGGAAUUGUCAAGGGACACCAGAAAUCUUAUUAAUCUUAGGCAUCUUGAUUUCAAUAGUUCUACCUUAACCCAUAUGCCCGAAGAGAUGGGGAAGUUGAAUUGUCCACAGACACUAAGUUAUUUUGUCUUGGACUACGAAAGGUCUAAUCAGCUGAGUGAACCGACUGUGUUGAUCCAUUUAAAAGGAGAUUUAAGAAUAAAAAAUUUAGAGCAACUGAGUUACAAUCCAUCUGAACUCAGUUUAGUAAACCUGAAAGACAUAAAAGGCUUCAAGAAUCUGGAACUAGAAUGGAACCUAAGCCCAGAUGAUCAAGAAUAUGAAGGUGAGGAUGAUGAAACUUCAGCAAUGGAAGGCCUAGAACGACAUUCAAAUGUUGAAUCCUUGCACAUUGACGGGUACAGCGGAGUAGGAUUACCCAAUUGGGUGUCCACCUUGCUCUUGAAGUUAACUAGAAUUACAAUUUAUAAAUGCCAUAGAUUGCAACAUCUAACACAGAUAGCCCAUCUUCAGGCACUCACAUUUCUAUUUUUGGAUGACAUGAGCUCUCUUGAGUUCAUAGACAAGAAUGAACCAUCUUCCUCGUCCUCUUUCCCAUCUCUCGAGCUUCUAAUUAUCGAAAACAUGCCGAAUUUGGAAGGAUGGUGGGAAUUAGGGAACACUCAAAAAAAUUGGUUACCACCAACUUUCUCUACGCUGAUUUCCCUGCAUAUCUCUAGGUGUCCUAAGUUUAGAUUCAUGCCCAAGCCAGCUUCAACAGGAACAGUUGUGUUCUUACGUGAUGUGAGCGUUCAAUUGGAGACUACAUUAGAUCCAUUGUGGGGUUUGGAAUGUCUAACACUGGAAAAAAUUAAGGAUCUCAAAUAUCUAGAAACCAUGGAAUCUCAGCUAAACAUCAGUUCUUUGCCAAUACAACUUCGAGAUUUAGAAAUAAAUAAAUGCUCGAAUUUGAUGAGUUUACCUGAAUGGAUUAGCAGCAUUACUUCGCUAGAGGAGCUGGAGAUUAUGAAAUGCCCGAAACUAAAAGUAGCUUUUGCAUCGGCGGUUGCCCCGAAGUAGGAGAAAGAUGCAAAGAGGGAGGAGAGGAUUGGGCUAAGAUUGCUCACAUUCCCCAUUUUGAGCACUUUCUUGUCGACGACUAAGGAGAAGAACUUUUCAUGCACUUUUGUUCUCUUCCUCUUAAUCCUUUUUCUUUUACGAAUCUAAUUUUGUCAUUCGUUGAGAAAAUAUUUUUUUUUAGUUUAUUUUUUACAUGGAUUGCAAUUUUUUUAUUCACUUUCUUUUGAUUCUACUCUAUUUUCAUCUUAUUUAAUUAGAGAUUGCAGUUUGGAAAAAAAAAAUGAAAAGAAG
rnacentral:lncRNA from 1 species